GACGAACGCUGGCGGCGUGCUUAACACAUGCAAGUCGAACGGAAAGGCCCUGCUCUUGUGGGGUGCUCGAGUGGCGAACGGGUGAGUAACACGUGAGUAACCUGCCCUUGACUUUGGGAUAACUUCAGGAAACUGGGGCUAAUACCGGAUAGGAGCUCCUGCGGCAUGGUGGGGGUUGGAAAGUUUCGGCGGUCGGGGAUGGACUCGCGGCUUAUCAGCUUGUUGGUGGGGUAGUGGCUUACCAGGGCUUUGACGGGUAGCCGGCCUGAGAGGGUGACCGGCCACAUUGGGACUGAGAUACGGCCCAGACUCCUACGGGAGGCAGCAGUGGGGAAUAUUGCACAAUGGGCGGAAGCCUGAUGCAGCAACGCCGCGUGCGGGAUGACGGCCUUCGGGUUGUAAACCGCUUUCGCCUGUGACGAAGCGUGAGUGACGGUAAUGGGUAAAGAAGCACCGGCUAACUACGUG
rnacentral:rRNA from 1 species